GGAAGUGGUUAGGCUCUGGUGAGUCUCCUGGACUUCAAAUCCAGUGAGGGGCGUGAGCAACGUCCUUGGUGGGUUCGAUUCCCAUGCACUUCCGCCA
rnacentral:tRNA from 1 species